GGGCGAAAGCCUGACGCAGCGACGCCGCGUGGGGGAUGAAGCUUCUCGGAGUGUAAACCCCUUUCGACCCGGACGAAACGCCCGCAAGGGCUUGACGGUACGGGUAUAAGAAGCCCCGGCUAACUACGUGCCAGCAGCCGCGGUAAGACGUAGGGGGCCAGCGUUGCUCGGAAUUACUGGGCGUAAAGGGUUCGUAGGCGGUGUGGCAAGUCGGAAGUGAAAUCUCCAGGCUUAACUUGGAGGCUGCUCCCGAAACUGCCAUGCUAGAGUGCGGGAGAGGCGAGUGGAAUUGCAGGUGUAGCGGUGAAAUGCGUAGAUAUCUGCAGGAACACCCGUGGCGAAGGCGGCUCGCUGGACCGCAACUGACGCUGAGGAACGAAAGCUAGGGGAGCAAACAGGAUUAGAUACCCUGGUAGUCCUAGCCCUAAACAAUCAGGACUUGGGGUGCAUCCCGUUGGGGGUGCGUCCCGUAGCUAACGCGUUAAGUCCUGCGCCUGGGGAGUACGGUCGCAAGGCUG
rnacentral:rRNA from 1 species